rnacentral:rRNA from 1 species
GACGAACGCUGGCGGCGUGCCUAAUACAUGCAAGUGGGACGCAAGAGAACACACUGUGCUUGCACACCGUGUUUUCUUGAGUCGCGAACGGGUGAGUAACGCGUAGGUAACCUGCCUAUUAGCGGGGGAUAACUAUUGGAAACGAUAGCUAAUACCGCAUAAUAUUAAUUAUUGCAUGAUAAUUGAUUGAAAGAUGCAAGCGCAUCACUAGUAGAUGGACCUGCGUUGUAUUAGCUAGUUGGUAAGGUAAGAGCUUACCAAGGCGACGAUACAUAGCCGACCUGAGAGGGUGAUCGGCCACACUGGGACUGAGACACGGCCCAGACUCCUACGGGAGGCAGCAGUAGGGAAUCUUCGGCAAUGGACGAAAGUCUGACCGAGCAACGCCGCGUGAGUGAAGAAGGUUUUCGGAUCGUAAAGCUCUGUUGUAAGUCAAGAACGUGUGUGAGAGUGGAAAGUUCACACAGUGACGGAGCUACCAGAAAGGCGCA